GGACACUGGACCUGCAGGAAUGGGGGUACCUGUGUGACCCAGUCCCAAGACAAAACUAUCUGCCAAUGCCCCGAAGGUUACAAGGGAAGAUGGUGUGAAAUUAGCCAGGUGAAGGCUGGAAGACCUGUUGGACUGAGCUCUGGCUCUAUUCUGGCAAUCAGCAUGUGUCUCCUUGUCUUCCUAGGAUUGGUGAAAGGCCAGAGAUUGGCCAAAAUGCCUUCUAUUUAAAUGGAUUCCUUUAGCACUCUUGGUCUCCUACACAGUGUGGAGUCAGUGGGGAAGCUCAGGUUUUCGGAAAGGAGGAAUUUACCACAUUCCUGAAGAACGUGAAAGCUGGGAGGAUGUUAGAGAAAAUGUCUUCAAUUAUAAUGAAGAAGGAGGUGGAGAACGUGACCAG